CCUCGGGCGGCUGCAGUGGGGAAUAUUGGACAAUGGGCGAAAGCCUGAUCCAGCCAUGCCGCGUGUGUGAAGAAGGCCUUCGGGUUGUAAAGCACUUUCAGUGGGGAAGAAAGCCUUGGGGCUAAUACCCUCGAGGAAGGACAUCACCCACAGAAGAAGCACCGGCUAACUCCGUGCCAGCAGCCGCGGUAAUACGGAGGGUGCGAGCGUUAAUCGGAAUUACUGGGCGUAAAGCGCGCGUAGGCGGUCUGAUAAGCCGGUUGUGAAAGCCCCGGGCUCAACCUGGGAACGGCAUCCGGAACUGUCAGGCUAGAGUGCAGGAGAGGAAGGUAGAAUUCCCGGUGUAGCGGUGAAAUGCGUAGAGAUCGGGAGGAAUACCAGUGGCGAAGGCGGCCUUCUGGACUGACACUGACGCUGAGGUGCGAAAGCGUGGGUAGCAAACAGGAUUAGAUACCCUGGUAGUC
rnacentral:rRNA from 1 species